GGCGUCGUCCGAUCCAAACUCCUAUCUGCCGCAGCAGGCUCGCCGCCACACCCACCUCCACCUCCCCUCCUCCCCAUCGUCUCCUCCUGCCCCUAUCCCAUCUCCUACGGCGCUGAAAUCGACAAGUACGUCGCCGGCACCGGCCGUCCGCGGUGUCUGCAAUGCCUCUCCUGCCAACUCCUCCGAUGUAGCAGACCCGCCGCCCAGCAACUCUCCCUCCUCACCUCCGUCUCCUCCUUCCCCUACCCCUAUAGCGUGUGCUGGCAUGCACGACUGGCGGCCCAGACGGCCCAGAUGUCAGUAAUGCCAACAGCAGACAGCACCCGGUGCAGGAGCUCUGGCAGGAAGGCAGCGAAGUCCGCACCGGAGCCAAGAGUGUUCUUCGGCGGGGGCUCCGGCUUGAGCUUUUCUUGGAGUAGCAAUGACGGUUGGGGUCCGAGAAGACACGCGGGGUUGGGAUGAGAAGGGCGCCGGCGAGGGGUUCGGCAGUGGUCAGGUGCUCUAUGCAAUCUGUUGAUGCUCUCAUUGUUAAUCUAUCUAGGCAGGAUGCAUAAGCAAAGCUCUAGAUGUCCACGCUCUAUAUGUAUUGCGCACCUUUUCUGCAGAGCUAAGUAUGGACUUACAAUUUUUCUUAUUGCUGAAAGGAAAUUGUUUCUUCUACAAAUUAAUCGAUGAGUAUUGAGUGUGAAGCAUCGUUCAGUAUCAAAGUCUCAUAGCUUGUCAACAAUCUAGCAGCUUCUUUGCGCAAUUGCAUUAUGCUUACAUGACAAAGGAGUUGAUGCUUGAUUUUUAGAUCUGACUACUACUUUAUGCAAUUAGGCAAAACAUGAAUUAAAGUUUCUGUAUUUAUCCCACUAUUACACUAUUAGGCAAAAGAGGAUUUUAAAUUUACUUUAUUUAUCCCACUAUUACUCAAGUUAUGUUUCGAUAUUAAUGGAUUAUAAGUUGAGACAUCUGAAGGAUAUGGACAUACUCUCCUUGCUUCUGCUCCUUAGCUCUGAAAAUAAACCGUUUGAAGAUUGUGGUGCAGCUCCAGGUCGUGGAUUAGAGGUCCAUGGUAAGGACUACCAGAGAGAAACGUACAUGGUAAGGAGUACCACAGAGAAACGUAUGUGAUGGAGAAGGUGUGCUAAAACUUAGGUGUGGAGAUGUCUGCAUCAAUCUGCACCCAUAUAUCAGGUGAAGUUAAGGAAAAUGAUGACACCCAGAUAUGGUUAGAUGGGACUGUAGCAGCAUCUCAGGUGAAACGUCCAGCGUUGUUUUAUGCAUAGGAAGCACACAGGAAGAAGAUGCAAUGUGGUUGAGAAAAAAAUGCUAUGACUAGAAUUCUUUUGUGGUAGAAUUAGAAAGAAGAUUUAAGGUGGUUAGUUCAAACAUUGGCACCAUGGCUUUAGUUGUCAAAUUUGUGACUUCCUAGAACAGAUACAAAUUUAUUAUGAAUUUCAUAUUAUAGCUGUUAUUUUCAUGUUAACAUGUCGUAGCAUUCAUAUGG
rnacentral:lncRNA from 1 species